rnacentral:piRNA from 1 species
GCCUGUCUAGUAAACAGGAGAUCCUGGG